rnacentral:rRNA from 1 species
AUACGUAGGGGGCGAGCGCUGUCCGGAAUGAUUGGGCGUAAAGGGCGCGUAGGCGGCGCGGUAAGUCUGGAGUGAAAGUCCUGCUUUCAAGGUGGGAAUUGCUUUGGAUACUGCCGCGCUUGAGUGCAGGAGAGGUUAUCGGAAUUCCCGGUGUAGCGGUGAAAUGCGUAGAGAUCGGGAGGAACACCAGUGGCGAAGGCGGGUAACUGGACUGCAACUGACGCUGAGGCGCGAAAGUGUGGGGAGCAAACAGGAUUAGAUACCCUGGUAGUCCACACUGUAAACGAUGAAUGCUAGGUGUAAGAGGUAUCGACCCCUUUUGUGCCGGAGUCAACACAAUAAGCAUUCCGCCUGGGGAGUACGGCCGCAAGGUUGAAACUCAAAUGAAUUGACGGGG